rnacentral:lncRNA from 1 species
ACCUUCUAGCUCAGUAGGGGUGGUGUAGACAUCUUCUGUGGAACCCCAGUGAGGUUCAAAGGCUGGUGCAUGGCGGGUCCUAACAGGGAUUCCCUCUGCGCUGGGACCCAGAGCCAAAGAGACAAAAAUUGCUCAGCUGUGACGGGGAAGGGUCCCCAGAAGAUGACGUCAUCGUCACCCUGCCUUUUGAGUCCUGUGGCAUUUUUCAGGCCAUCAGCCACCAAGGUUUAAGGACCUCCCACGAUCUGAAACUGCACUGAAGAAAGAGGACGAAAGAUAGGACUUAGGCCCGGCUCGAGAGAUGCUGUUCACUGGGUGUUGGGUGAGCCGGCCAUACUGGCUGCCCAGGGUGAUGAUCAGGACACAAAAGCUGCUUCUGGAAUAGUGUUGAUCAGACCUGAUUGAGAACCUCUUAAAGGAACGAACAGCUGUAAUGGGAAAGCUGGACUCUGUCAUCCGUUAGGAUGAUUCUGGAAGCAAGAAGAACACGGCUGACAUCUUGGAGCAAUUGUAUUUACAAUUAACAUGGCCGAGAACGAUUGCCUCUAUUGAUUCCCCCUUCCUGCAAUUACAGCCCCAUUGUUUACAUUCCAGCACUUCAGUUAUAAAAAGGAAAUUC